rnacentral:rRNA from 1 species
AGAGUUUGAUCCUGGCUCAGAGUGAACGCUGGCGGCGUGCCUAAUACAUGCAAGUCGAACGGACAAGUAAGAGCUUGCUCUUAUGAGUUAGUGGCGCACGGGUGAGUAAUGUAUAGUUAAUCUGCCCUACACUGGAGGACAACAGUUAGAAAUGACUGCUAAUACUCCAUACUCCUUCUUAACACAAGUUAAGUCGGGAAAGUUUUUUCGGUGUAGGAUGAGACUAUAUUGUAUCAGCUAGUUGGUGAGGUAAUGGCUCACCAAGGCUAUGACGCAUAACUGGUCUGAGAGGAUGAUCAGUCACACUGGAACUGAGACACGGUCCAGACUCCUACGGGAGGCAGCAGUAGGGAAUAUUGCUCAAUGGGGGAAACCCUGAAGCAGCAACGCCGCGUGGAGGAUGACACUUUUCGGAGCGUAAACUCCUUUUGUUAGGGAAGAACAAUGACGGUACCUAACGAAUAAGCACCGGCUAACUCCGUGCCAGCAGCCGCGGUAAUACGGAGGGUGCAAGCGUUACUCGGAAUCACUGGGCGUAAAGGACGCGUAGGCGGAUUAUCAAGUCUUUUGUGAAAUCUAAUGGCUCAACCAUUAAACUGCUUGAGAAACUGAUAAUCUAGAGUGAGGGAGAGGCAGAUGGAAUUGGUGGUGUAGGGGUAAAAUCCGUAGAGAUCACCAGGAAUACCCAUUGCGAAGGCGAUCUGCUGGAACUUAACUGACGCUAAUGCGUGAAAGCGUGGGGAGCAAACAGGAUUAGAUACCCUGGUAGUCCACGCCCUAAACGAUGUAUACUAGUUGUUGCUGUGCUAGUCAUGGCAGUAAUGCACCUAACGGAUUAAGUAUACCGCCUGGGGAGUACGGUCGCAAGAUUAAAACUCAAAGGAAUAGACGGGGACCCGCACAAGCGGUGGAGCAUGUGGUUUAAUUCGAAGAUACGCGAAGAACCUUACCUGGGCUUGAUAUCCUAAGAACCUUGUAGAGAUACGAGGGUGCUAGCUUGCUAGAACUUAGUGACAGGUGCUGCACGGCUGUCGUCAGCUCGUGUCGUGAGAUGUUCGGUUAAGUCCGGCAACGAGCGCAACCCACGUAUUUAGUUGCUAACAGUUCGGCUGAGCACUCUAAAUAUACUGCCUUCGUAAGGAGGAGGAAGGUGUGAACGACGUCAAAUCAUCAUGCCCCUUAUGUCCUGGGCUACACACGUAAUACAAUGGCCGUCAACAAAGGGAAGCAAAACCGCGAGGUGGAGCAAAUCCCCAAAAACGGUCUCAGUUCGGAUUGCAGGCUGCAACUCGCCUGCAUGAAGCUGGAAUUGCUAGUAAUCGUGGAUCAGCAAGCCACGGUGAAUACGUUCCCGGGCCUUGUACUCACCGCCCGUCA